rnacentral:rRNA from 1 species
AUUGAACGCUGGCGGCAGGCCUAACACAUGCAAGUCGAGCGAGCGGCGGACGGGUGAGUGAUGUCUGGGCAACUGCCUGAUGGAGGGGGAUAACUACUGGAACCGGUAGCUAAUACCGCAUACCAUCAGAUGUGCCCAGAUGGGAUUAGCUAGUAGGUGGGGUAACGGCUCACCUAGGCGACGAUCCCUAGCUGUUCUGAGAGGAUGACCAGCCAAACUGGAAAUGAGACACGGGCCAGACACCUACGGGAGGCAGCAGUGGGGAAUAUUGCACAAUGGGCGCAAGCCGGAUGCAGCCAUGCCGCGUGUAUGAAGAAGGCCUUCGGGUUGUAAAGUACGUUCAGCGGGGAGGCGUUACCCGCAGAAGAAGCACCGGCUAACUCCGUGCCAGCCGCCGCGGUAAUAC